CCUACGGGUGGCUGCAGUCGAGAAUUUUUCUCAAUGGGGGAAACCCUGAAGGAGCGACGCCGCGUGGAGGAUGAAGGUCUUCGGAUUGUAAACUCCUGUCAUUGGUGAACAAGGCCAUGGGAGUAACUGCCCUUUGGUUUGAUAGUAGCCGAAGAGGAAGAGACGGCUAACUCUGUGCCAGCAGCCGCGGUAAUACAGAGGUCUCAAGCGUUGUUCGGAUUCAUUGGGCGUAAAGGGUGCGUAGGCGGCGAGGCAAGUCUGGUGUGAAAUCCCGG
rnacentral:rRNA from 1 species